ACGGGAGGCAGCAGUGGGGAAUAUUGCACAAUGGGGGAAACCCUGAUGCAGCGACGCCGCGUGAAGGAAGAAGUAUCUCGGUAUGUAAACUUCUAUCAGCAGGGAAGAUAAUGACGGUACCUGACUAAGAAGCCCCGGCUAACUACGUGCCAGCAGCCGCGGUAAUACGUAGGGGGCAAGCGUUAUCCGGAUUUACUGGGUGUAAAGGGAGCGUAGACGGCAUAGCAAGUCUGAAGUGAAAUGCAUGGGCUCAACCCAUGAACUGCUUUGGAAACUGUUAAGCUAGAGUGCAGGAGAGGUAAGUGGAAUUCCUAGUGUAGCGGUGAAAUGCGUAGAUAUUAGGAGGAACACCAGUGGCGAAGGCGGCUUACUGGACUGUAACUGACGUUGAGGCUCGAAAGCGUGGGGAGCAAACAGGAUUAGAUACCCUGGUA
rnacentral:rRNA from 1 species